ensembl:lncRNA
GACCACUGUAAAUAAACACACUUCUUCUGAGUCUGUGCUUGAGUCCACCAGCCUGCUAGCCUUGACAGAAUGAUCCAGCCACAACAUGGUUUCAGCAAACGCUAACCCACUUCUCAAUGCCUUUGAACCACCCAAACAACCUCUCCCCACACCAGAGGUGUUAUCGGUUUCCCAGCAUGCCUCAGGAGUGGAGGUGUAUGAGGGGGCGGAGUCUGUCCUGCUGCCCUGUCAGGUACCAGCUGAUGCUUCCAGGAGCUCCACAGCAGCAGUGUGGGACCGUGAGGAGCUCAGUAACCCAAC